rnacentral:misc_RNA from 1 species
CAGUGUCCGUACAUCAAACUUGGCUCUCUUCCUUCCGUGUAGUCGGUGGAUGGGGACGCCAGACGUGAGGUGUCUUGCGGGUGGUCUUCGGGCUGGCUGCGAGUCCCUUGAAAUGUACUGAACUGUACUUCUCUUUGCUCGAAAAGCGUGACGUUGUUGGUUGUGGAGGCUGCCUGUGUGGCCAGUCGGCGACCGGUUUGUCUGCUGCGGCGUUUAAUGGAGGAGUGUUCGAUUCGCGGUAUGGUUGGCUUCGGCUGAACAAUGCGCUUAUUGGACGUUCUUCCUGCUGUGGCGGUACGGAUCGGUGAACCGUAGCUGUGCGAGGCUUGGCCUUUGAACCGGCGGUGUUGGUCGCGAAGUAGGGUGGCGGCUUCGGCUGUCGAGGGGUCGAUCCAUUUGGGAA